GGGCGAGUGGCGGAAUGGCAGACGCGCUGGGUUUAGGACCCAGUGAUCGCAAGAUCGUGGAGGUUCAAGUCCUCUCUCGCCCACCA
rnacentral:tRNA from 1 species